ACACAUGCAAGUCGAGCGGGGUUUUCGGACCUAGCGGCGGACGGGUGAGUAAUGCGUAGGAAGCUACCCGAUAGAGGGGGAUACCAGUUGGAAACGACUGUUAAUACCGCAUAAUGUCUACGGACCAAAGUGUGGGACCUUCGGGCCACAUGCUAUCGGAUGCGCCUACGUGGGAUUAGCUAGUUGGUGAGGUAAUGGCUCACCAAGGCGACGAUCUCUAGCUGGUUUGAGAGGAUGAUCAGCCACACUGGAACUGAGACACGGUCCAGACUCCUACGGGAGGCAGCAGUGGGGAAUAUUGGACAAUGGGCGCAAGCCUGAUCCAGCCAUGCCGCGUGUGUGAAGAAGGCCUUCGGGUUGUAAAGCACUUUCAGCGAGGAGGAAGGGGUGAGUGUUAAUAGUACUCACCUUUGACGUUACUCGCAGAAGAAGCACCGGCUAACUCUGUGCCAGCAGCCGCGGUAAUACAGAGGGUGCAAGCGUUAAUCGGAAUUACUGGGCGUAAAGCGCACGCAGGCGGUUGGUUAAGUCAGAUGUGAAAGCCCCGGGCUCAACCUGGGAAUUGCAUUUGAAACUGGCCAACUAGAGUAUGUGAGAGGGGGGUAGAAUUCCAAGUGUAGCGGUGAAAUGCGUAGAGAUUUGGAGGAAUACCAGUGGCGAAGGCGGCCCCCUGGCACAAUACUGACGCUCAGGUGCGAAAGCGUGGGGAGCAAACAGGAUUAGAUACCCUGGUAGUCCACGCCGUAAACGAUGUCUACUAGCUGUUCGUGGUCUUGUACUGUGAGUAGCGCAGCUAACGCACUAAGUAGACCGCCUGGGGAGUACGGUCGCAAGAUUAAAACUCAAAUGAAUUGACGGGGGCCCGCACAAGCGGUGGAGCAUGUGGUUUAAUUCGACGUCACGCGAAGAACCUUACCUACUCUUGACAUCUAGCGAAGAUUGUAGAGAUACGAUUGUGCCUUCGGGACGCUAAGACAGGUGCUGCAUGGCUGUCGUCAGCUCGUGUUGUGAAAU
rnacentral:rRNA from 1 species